rnacentral:miRNA from 1 species
UGUGUGUGUGUGUGUGUGUGUACACACACACACACACACACACACA